rnacentral:rRNA from 1 species
AGCCUGAUGCAGCCAUGCCGCGUGUGUGAAGAAGGCCUUCGGGUUGUAAAGCACUUUCAGUCAGGAGGAAAGGUUAGUAGUUAAUACCUGCUAGCUGUGACGUUACUGACAGAAGAAGCACCGGCUAACUCCGUGCCAGCAGCCGCGGUAAUACGGAGGGUGCGAGCGUUAAUCGGAAUUACUGGGCGUAAAGCGUACGCAGGCGGUUUGUUAAGCGAGAUGUGAAAGCCCCGGGCUCAACCUGGGAACUGCAUUUCGAACUGGCAAACUAGAGUGUGAUAGAGGGUGGUAGAAUUUCAGGUGUAGCGGUGAAAUGCGUAGAGAUCUGAAGGAAUACCGAUGGCGAAGGCAGCCACCUGGGUCAACACUGACGCUCAUGUACGAAAGCGUGGGGAGCAAACAGGAUUAGAUACCCUGGUAGUCCACGCCGUAAACGAUGUCUACUAGAAGCUCGGAACCUCGGUUCUGUUUUUCAAAGCUAACGCAUUAAGUAGACCGCCUGGGGAGUACGGCCGCAAGGUUAAAACUCAAAUGAAUUGACGGGGGCCCGCACAAGCGGUGGAGCAUGUGGUUUAAUUCGAUGCAACGCGAAGAACCUUACCUACACUUGACAUACAGAGAACUUACCAGAGAUGGUUUGGUGCCUUCGGGAACUCUGAUACAGGUGCUGCAUGGCUGUCGUCAGCUCGUGUUGUGAGAUGUUGGGUUAAGUCCCGCAACG